CCACCUGAAACCGAGGGAGGAGGAGUCAGGAGCUGAAUGGCAAGGGAACGGGGGUGCUCCUGCCUCGCCCGCGGGAGAACCACUUCUUUGUGCUUUCUCUCCAGCUGCAAUAAUUAAAUAGCCACUGUUCUGUACUGACGCAGGAUUGCUACCUGUUAGCCACGGCUUACUCUGGGCCAGGCACCAUGGGUUCUGCGUGGGUCGACGCAGGACACCACUGUGAGGUAGGCUCUAGCAUCCCCAUUUCGCAGGUAGGAAAACUGAGGCAUAGAUGCUGAGGAAGUGGAGUUAGGAUUUGAACCCAGGACUGUGGCUGCUGGUUUCAAUCCCUACUCCUACUGCCAAGGAGCCCUGAGGACCUGAGGGCAGGAGGGGCCUGUACAGGUCCCAUCCUGACCCUCCGGUCUCCGACCCACCCAGUCUCUGCUUCUCACAUCAGGGUCCCAACUUGAUCCCAACACCAUGGCCUCCAGUUUGUGGAGAGUGCCAUUAUAUCUGCGACAGAAAACUGUCCUGCCCACUCACCACCAAGCAUGUAAAUCACUGCGAAGGUCACAGUUUUGUUAGUGCAGUCAACUGAGAGGACUUGGGAUCAUAAUCGUUAACAGCUGACACUGAAACGUGCGUCUGAGCAAAUCGACAUGAGGAUCUUCCUUGCCAUGAUUCCAACAGUCAAACAGCUGAUGGUAUAGGAAAGACAAGAGCAGAGGAGCGUGGAAAGUGCAACAGAGGGGCUCUCACUCCCUCUGGGGUCAGAAGAGCCAGCGCUACUACGGAUUCCCUCUCUGCCCUUAGGACAGUCUCCGCACAGGUCAAAUGAGGCUGCGUAUUGUCCCCCAGUGCCACCAUGCUGAGAUUCUAACCUACUAGAAAGAUCUGCGUCCUGAGAGGCCCGUGGAAAUUGUCCAGGGCUCCUGUUCUGGGGCCUGUCGGGUGGGGGUCUGCCCAGUCCAGAGAAGUGAGCUGUAUUCAAGAAUGGAAAACUAGAAGCACUUUGGCCCCAUGCAACCUCUGGACACAGAUGUUACAGAACUAUAAUCCCUCCCAGCUUCCGGAACACACCUGUGAACACUCUGGUGUAUCUACAUUUAGAUACUUCCUUUAUGCAUCUACUACCAUAGGUAUGAAUUUUUUUUUCCUGAAAUGUGGUCAAACCAUAAAUUCUCUGCAACUUA